UCCUUCCUUGUCUUGGGGAGCUGAGUAGUCGGUGAUCUUUUAGUGAGGCUGCUCAUGCUGACACCAAUGAUAAAUUGCCCGCACCCGCGUAUACGCGAGUGCAAUUUUUGGAAAU